GAUGAACGCUGGCGGCAUGCCUAAUACAUGCAAGUCGAGCGAACGGACGAGAAGCUUGCUUCUAUGAUGUUAGCGGCGGACGGGUGAGUAACACGUGUAUAACCUAACUAUAAGACUGGGGUAACAUCGGGAAAUCAGAGCUAAUACCGGAUAAUAUAUUGAAUCGCAUGGUUCACAAGUGACAGUCGGUCUUUCUGUGACUUAAAGCUUGCUCCGCGCUGCAUUAGCUAGUUGGUAAGGUAACGGCUUACCAAGGCAACGAUGCAUAGCCGACCUGAGAGGGUGAUCGGCCACACUGGAACUGAGACACGGUCCAGACUCCUACGGGAGGCAGCAGUAGGGAAUCUUCCGCAAUGGGCGAAAGCCUGACGGAGCAACGCCGCGUGAGUGAUGAAGGUCUUCGGAUCGUAAAACUCUGUUAUUAGGGAAGAACAUAUGUGUAAGUAACUGUGCACAUCUUGACGGUACCUAAUCAGAAAGCCACGGCUAACUACGUG
rnacentral:rRNA from 1 species